GACGUAGGGCGCGAGCGUUUGUCCGGAUUUAUUGGGCGUAAAGAGCUCGUAGGCGGCUCGUUGCGUCGGCUGUGAAAACCCGCAGCUCAACUGUGGGCUUGCAGCUGAUACGGGCGGGCUGGAGUUCGGUAGGGGAGACUGGAAUUCCCGGUGUAGUGGUGAUAUGCGUAGAUAUCGGGAGGAACACCUGUGGCGAAGGCGGCUUUCUGGGCCCUACCUGACGCUGAGACGGCGAAA
rnacentral:rRNA from 1 species